GUCCUAGCCGUAAACGAUGGGCACUAGGUGUAGGAGGUAUUGACCCCUCUUGUGCCGCAGCUAACGCAUUAAGUGCCCCGCCUGGGGAGUACGACCGCAAGGUUGAAACUCAAAGGAAUUGACGGGGGCCCGCACAAGCGGUGGAGCAUGUGGUUUAAUUCGACGCAACGCGAAGAACCUUACCGGGGCUUGACAUGCUUAGGACAGGCGUGGAAACACGUUUUUCCUUCGGGACCUUUGCACAGGUGCUGCAUGGCUGUCGUCAGCCCGUGUCGUGAGAUGUUGGGUUAAGUCCCGCAACGAGCGCAACCCUUGUCCUUAGUUGCUAGCGGGUUAUGCCGAGAACUCUAAGGAGACUGCCGGUGGUAAGCCGGAGGAAGGUGGGGAUGACGUCAAGUCCCCAUGGCCCUUACGUCCCGGGCUACACACGUGCUACAAUGGCCGAUACAGAGGGUCGCAAUACCGCGAGGUGGAGCUAAUCCCAAAAAAUCGGUCUCAGUUCGGAUUGUAGUCUGCAACUCGACUGCAUGAAGGUGGAAUCGCUAGUAAUCGCGAAUCAGCAGGUCGCGGUGAAUACGUUCCCGGGCCUUGUACACACCGCCCGUCAAGCCACGAAAGUCGGCAGUACCCGAAGUCGCUGUCCUAACCCGCAAGGGAGGGAGG
rnacentral:rRNA from 1 species